UCUCUCAUCCCACCUGGUGAGAUAUACCUACAGGUGUGGAGGGGCAGGCCACCCCUUCAUCGGGCACCCAACGUGGGGACUUUCUCUAGGGUGAAGGUACGCUAAGAACGUGAACAUUCAGGACAGCCGACGACAGAUUCCCGAGUACAUCCACGGUCAGCCUUGCGGAGAAAAUCAGCUUCCUGUUCAGGUAUCUACAAAUUACAGAAGAAGUUGCCAUCCACCAAGGAAGCGGAGCCACUGACCUGGGCCCAACUAAAAAAGCUGACACAGUUAGCUAAAAAAAGCCUGAAGAACACAAGGGUAACACAAACUCCAGAGAAUAUGCUGCUUGCAGCUGUAAUGAUUGUAUCAAUGGUGUCUACAGGUGCAUCCAGCAGCUUCGGAGAGACAGCGACAAACAAGAAUGAGCCAUGAUGACAAUGGCAUUUUGUCAAAAAGAAAAGGGGGAUGUGCAGGGAAAAGAGAGAGAGAUCAGACUAUUACUGUGUCUAUGUAGAAAGGGAAGACAUAAGAAAUUCCAUUUUGACCUGUACCUUAAACAAUUGCUUUGCUGAAAUGUUGUUAAUUUGUAACUUUGCCCCAGCCACUUUGACCCAACUUUGAGCUCACAAAAACAUGUGUUGUAUAGAAUCAAGGUUUAAGGGAUCUAGGGCUGUGCAGGAUGUGCCUUGAUAACAAAAUGUUUACAGACAGUAUGCUUGGUAAAAGUCAUUGCCAUGCUCUAGUCUCAAUAAACCAGGGGCACAAUGCACUGCGAAAAGCUGCAGGGACCUCUGCCGUGAAAAGCUGGGUAUUGUCCAAGGUUUCUCCCCAUGUAAUAGUCUGAAAUAUGGCCUUGUGAGAUGAGAACAACCUGACCGUCCCCCAGCCCGACACCCAUAAAGGGUCUGUGCUGAGGUGGAUUAGUAAAAGUGGAAAUCCUCUUGCAGUUGAGAUAGAGGAAGGUCACUGUCUCCUGCCCGCCCCUGAGAACGGAAUGUCUCGGUAUAAAACCCGACUGUACAUUUGUUCAAUUCUGAGAUAGGAGAAAAACUGCCCUAUGGUGGGAGGUGAGACAUGUUGGCAGCAAUGUUGCCUUGUUAUUCUUUACUCCACUGAGAUGUUUGGGUGGAGAGAAACAUAAAUCUGGCCUAUGUGCACAUCCAGGCAUAUACCUCGCCUUGAACUUAAUUAUGACAUAGAUUAUUUUGCUCACAUGUUUUUUUGCUGACCUUCUCUUUAUUAUCACCCUGCUCUCCUACCACAUUCCUUUUGCUGAGAUAAUGAAAAUAAUAAUCAAUAAAAACUGAGGGAACUCAGAGACCGGUGCCGGUGCAGGUCCUCUGUAUGCUGAGUGCCGGUCUCCUGGGCCCACUGUUGUUUCUCU